rnacentral:rRNA from 1 species
AUUGAACGCUGGCGGCAGGCCUAACACAUGCAAGUCGAACGGUAACAGGAGGAAGCUUGCUUCUUUGCUGACGAGUGGCGGACGGGUGAGUAAUGUCUGGGAAACUGCCUGAUGGAGGGGGAUAACUACUGGAAACGGUAGCGAAUACCGCAUAACGUCGCAAGACCAAAGAGGGGGACCUUCGGGCCUCUUGCCAUCGGAUGAGCCCAGAUGGGAUUAGCUAGUAGGUGGGGUAACGGCUCACCUAGGCGACGAUCCCUAGCUGGUCUGAGAGGAUGACCAGCCACACUGGAACUGAGACACGGUCCAGACUCCUACGGGAGGCAGCAGUGGGGAAUAUUGCACAAUGGGCGCAAGCCUGAUGCAGCCAUGCCGCGUGUAUGAAGAAGGCCUUCGGGUUGUAAAGUACUUUCAGCGGGGAGGAAGGGAGUAAAGUUAAUACCUUUGCUCAUUGACGUUACCCGCAGAAGAAGCACCGGCUAACUCCGUG